ACUCUGGGUCAGAGCAGCCAUGCCUGAUCCUAAGAGGACCAGAGCGCUCAUUUAGACCCAGAGUAGGCUGUGCUUGACUGAGUGGAAAACAAAGAUGGAAGGAAAGGAGAGGUGUAUCACCCUCACCCUCCUAGGACAGGAAGAGCACAGGGGACCUGGAAAUCCAUGAUUUCCACAAGGGUGGUAAACUCUCAUGAUGUUGGUUUUUAAGAAUCCAGCCUUGUGGCGCACGGAGGCGCGUGCCUGUAACCCCAGCAACCACGUCGAUGAUGCAGAAGGAUCCCGAAGUUUACGGCCAGAACUCAGUUGGACUCUUGUCUUAAAAGAGCUACACCCUCAAGUGAGUGAGAUGUCA
rnacentral:lncRNA from 1 species